rnacentral:lncRNA from 1 species
CCGAGAAAUCCAUGUCUUGUCACUUCAGUCCUUCUGAAGAGAGUGUGUGGAAAGUCAUCUUUGCCCUCCUUGAAGCAGAUCGCAAGUGUUUUGGCGUAUGUGAUGUCCAAGAUGAAGCCAUGGUUUCCUACACCAAAGUUCAGCCACUUUGUUUUGGAUUUAUCAUCAUGGAAGCCUUACUUGAAAACAAUUAAAAGAUGGAAGAUUAUGGAACCUUUUCAUUUUAGUGAUGAAAAAACAAGAUGAAUUCAUAUGUGACUGGUAGGAUGCCAAAGCCAGAGAUGACAGCACUCCUGAGGGAAUGAGGGGCAGUAAGGAAGAUAAAAGGUACAAUUAACUGAGCUCUCUUUGGAGCGCUGGAGAAUUCAUCUACCCCAUCCCUCUGGCCAGACACUGUAGUCACCUUCCCUCCUCAGGCAGGUGGGGCAUAGCUCAAUGCAUACAUCACUGUAGCUAUUUCUUUUGCAUUUCUUCUGCUCUUCAGGUGAGAUGCCACCACCCAAAU